GGCAGACGGGAGAGUAACACGUGGGAACGUACCCUUCGGUUCGGAAUAACCCAGGGAAACUUGGGCUAAUACCGGAUACGUCCGUAAGGAGAAAGAUUUAUCGCCGAGGGAUCGGCCCGCGUCCGAUUAGCUAGUUGGUGAGGUAAUGGCUCACCAAGGCGACGAUCGGUAGCUGGUCUGAGAGGAUGAUCAGCCUCACUGGGACUGAGACACGGCCCAGACUCCUACGGGAGGCAGCAGUGGGGAAUAUUGGACAAUGGGCGCAAGCCUGAUCCAGCCAUGCCGCGUGGGUGAUGAAGGCCUUAGGGUUGUAAAGCCCUUUCGGCGGGGAAGAUAAUGACGGUACCCGCAGAAGAAGCCCCGGCUAACUUCGUGCCAGCCGCCGCGG
rnacentral:rRNA from 1 species